GAUGAAGAACGCAGCGAAAUGCGAUACUUGGUGUGAAUUGCAGAAUCCCGUGAACCAUCGAGUCUUUGAACGCAAGUUGCGCCCGAAGCCAUUAGGCCGAGGGCACGCCUGCCUGGGCGUCACACGUCGUUGCCCCCCCAUCUACUCCUUCGGGAUUGCGGGGGGCGGAUGAUGGCCUCCCGUGCGCCUCGUCGCGCGGUUGGCAUAAAUGCCAAGUCCUCGGCGACGCACGCCACGACAAUCGGUGGUUGUCCAACCCUCGGUGCCAUGCUGCGCGCGCUAGCCGCUCACUGUUACUCGACGACCCCAAUGCGUCGUAGCCACGACGCUCACAACGCGACCCCAGGUCAGGCGGGGCUACCCGCUGAGUUUAAGCAUAUCAAUAAGCGGAGGA
rnacentral:misc_RNA from 1 species